UUCUAUUAGAAUAUUCACUAAUAGUAAAAUCUGCUCAAUGAAUAUUAAAUAGCCGCAAUUUAGUGCUAAGGUAGCAUAAUCAUUUGUCUUUUAAAUGAAGACUAGAACAAAAGAUUUAACAUUUUAGCUUAUUUCUUUUUUAAUAUAUUAAAUUUAUCUUAAAAGUAAAAAGACUUUUAUUUAUUAGAAAGACGACAAGACCCUAUUGAACUUUACUUAAGUUUUACUGGGGCAGUAAAUUAAUUAUAAUUUUAAUUUAAUUAAAUAUUUAUCGAUCCAAAUAAUUGAUAACUCAGUUACCAUAGGGAUAACAGCAUAAUUAAUUUUAAAAGAACUUAUUUAAAAAAUAGAUUGUGACCUCGAUGUUGAAUUAAUAACCUAAUUGAAGCAAAAGUUAAAUAAGGAAGUCUGUUCGACUUUUAAAAAAUU
rnacentral:rRNA from 1 species